GCCAUGUCUCCAGUCCGACAGGCUGGUCUCAACUUGAUAAAGGACCCACAAGAGUUUCUCACUCAUUGUCCUGUAAAGACACUAUGGCGACAAAAGCUACAGACUGAUGGCGUUGACGACAGAAUGAUGUUUGCUCAACUUCUCGCAAAGGCAUUUGGUGUUGUAUUAGAUGGGACUUUGAGGAACACUUUGAGAAACACACGACCUGCUGAGGAACACUUGUCCAUAAUCCAAUGCUUCCAGCACACGUUCAUUCAAAGAGUUGCUGCACUGAACCCAGAGACUUUCAGAAGUGAACCAAUUGUGAGGAUCCUUGCUGCGCAGAAGUCAAAAUGACUGGGCCGACUGCUUGGCCGUGAUGUAACUGCUGUCUCCAUGUUGUCUACACGAUCACUAAUGGAAGCAGCUGAGGCAACAAUGUCUGCAAAUAGAUGACUAUGAAAAUUUGCUACAAACCUUUGAUUACAAAAGUAGCCUUUAGUAAA